rnacentral:rRNA from 1 species
GUGAGGAAUAUUGGUCAAUGGGCGAGAGCCUGAACCAGCCAUGCCGCGUGCAGGAAGAAUGCCCUAUGGGUUGUAAACUGCUUUUAUUUGGGAAUAAACCUUUCUACGUGUAGAAAGCUGAAGGUACUAAAUGAAUAAGCACCGGCUAACUCCGUGCCAGCAGCCGCGGUAAUACGGAGGGUGCAAGCGUUAUCCGGAAUCAUUGGGUUUAAAGGGUCCGCAGGCGGAUUAAUAAGUCAGUGGUGAAAUCUCAUAGCUUAACUAUGAAACUGCCAUUGAUACUGUUAGUCUUGAAUAUGGUCGAUGUGGGCGGAAUAUGACAUGUAGCGGUGAAAUGCUUAGAUAUGUUAUAGAACACCGAUAGCGAAGGCAGCUCACAAGGCCAUUAUUGACGCUCAUGGACGAAAGCGUGGGGAGCAAACAGGAUUAGAUACCCCGGUAGUCC